UCUGGUCUUGGGACACUGUCAGGUGGGCAGUUUGACUGGGGCGGUCGCCUCCCAAAAGGUAACGGAGGCGCCCAAAGGCUCUCUCAGUACGGUCGGAGAUCGUACGUAGAGUGUAAAGGCAAAAGAGAGCGUGGUGGCCAGACAUACAGGGCGAGCAAGGAUGAAAAACGGACUUCGUGAUCCGGUGGCUCUGCGUGGAAGGGCCAUCGCUCAACGGAUAAAAGCUACCCUGGGGAUAACAGGCUUAUCUCCCCCAAGAGUCCACAUCGACGGGGAGGUUUGGCACCUCGAUGUCGGCUCAUCACAUCCUGGGGCUGUAGUAGGUCCCAAGGGUUGGGCUGUUCGCCCAUUAAAGUGGUACGCGAGCUGGGUUCAGAACGUCGUGAGACAGUUCGGUCCCUAUCCGUCGCAGGCGUAGGAAAUUUGAGAAGACCUGUCCUUAGUACGAGAGGACCGGGAUGGACGUACCUCUGGUGUACCAGUUGUCCUGCCAAGGGCAUGGCUGGGUAGCUAUGUACGGAAUGGAUAAGCGCUGAAAGCAUCUAAGCGCGAAGCCAACUUCAAGAUAAGAUUUCCCACCGCAAGGGUAAGACCCCAGAAAGACUAUCUGGUUGAUAGGUCGAAGGUGUAAGUGCAGCAAUGUAUUUAGCUUAUCGAUACUAAUAGGUCGAGGACUUGACCAAUAUU
rnacentral:rRNA from 1 species